rnacentral:tRNA from 1 species
UCCCUGGUGGCUCAGAUGGUAAAGAUCUGCCUGCCAAGCAGGAGACCCAGGUUUGAUCCCUGGGUUGGGAA